rnacentral:rRNA from 1 species
GACAGAGGGUGCAAACGUUGCUCGGAAUCACUGGGCGUAAAGGGCGUGUAGGCGGGACGGUAAGUCGGGCGUGAAAUCCCUAGGCUCAACCUAGGAACUGCACUCGAAACUACCAUUCUUGAGUGUCGGAGAGGAAAGCGGAAUUCCUGGUGUAGAGGUGAAAUUCGUAGAUAUCAGGAGGAACACCAGUGGCGAAGGCGGCUUUCUGGACGAUAACUGACGUGAGACGCGAAAGCGUGGGGGAGCAAAACAGG